rnacentral:piRNA from 1 species
UGCAUCACGGGAUUCGGGGCAAGGCC